AACGAACGUUGGCGGCGUGGAUUAGGCAUGCAAGUCGAAUGCGAAUCCCUGGGCAACUGGGGAGGAGAGUGGCGAAAGGGGCAGUAAGGCGUGGGUAACCUACCCUCCGGGCCGGGAUAGCUUCGGGAAACUGAAGGUAAUACCGGGCGACGCAGCGAGAUCGCAUGGUCUUGCUGCCAAAGGUCCGCCGCCGGGGGAGGGGCUCACGUGGUAUUAGCUAGACGGCGGGGUAACGGCCCACCGUGGCAAAGAUGCCUAGCAGGUGUGAGAGCACGACCUGCGCCACUGGCACUGAGACACUGGCCAGACACCUACGGGUGGCUGCAGUCGAGGAUCUUCGGCAAUGGGCGCAAGCCUGACCGAGCGACGCCGCGUGUGCGAUGAAGGCCUUCGGGUUGUAAAGCACUGUCGAGGGGGAGGAAGCCGCAAGGUUGACCUAUCCCUGGAGGAAGCACGGGCUAAGUUCGUG
rnacentral:rRNA from 1 species